CAUGCUGAUGGAAUAAUGAAAACACACUGAUUAUACAAAUGUUUGUAAUUUAACGAAGAUGAAUCUAGGUUCUCGUUUUCAACGUUAAUUCUUUACUGCAACUGAACAUGUGCUCAAUUUAUGCAUGCUACACUUGUUUUAUCCUGUAUACAAUGCCUGAGCUUGUGACUGCUAUGGUAGCACAACAAGCACUGUUGUACUGUUAUUC